AUUGAACGCUGGCGGCGUGCCUAAUACAUGCAAGUCGAACGGGGAAAGCUUUCGGGUGAGUACUAGUGGCGCACGGGUGAGGAACGCGUGGAUAAUCUGCCUUAGAGUGGGGGAUAACUAGUCGAAAGAUUAGCUAAUACCGCAUAAGACCACAGGAGCUGCGGCUCUAGGGGUCAAAGGUUUUUCGCUCUAAGAUGAGUCCGCGUAAGAUUAGCUAGUUGGUGAGGUAACAGCUCAUCAAGGCGACGAUCUUUAACUGGUCUGAGAGGAUGAUCAGUCACACUGGAACUGAGACACGGUCCAGACUCCUACGGGAGGCAGCAGUAGGGAAUAUUGCACAAUGGAGGAAACUCUGAUGCAGCGACGCCGCGUGAGUGAUGAAGGCCUUCGGGUCGUAAAGCUCUGUCGCAGGGGAAUAACACAAUGAAUGUACCCUGUAAGAAAGGAUCGGCUAACUUCGUGCCAGCCGCCGCAGUAACAC
rnacentral:rRNA from 1 species